rnacentral:rRNA from 1 species
AACGAACGCUGGCGGCAUGCCUAACACAUGCAAGUCGAACGAGACCUUCGGGCCUAGUGGCGCACGGGUGCGUAAAGCGUGGGAACCUGCCCUUAGGUUCGGAAUAACUCCUCGAAAGGGGUGCUAAUACCGGAUAAUGUUUUCGGACCAAAGAUUUAUCGCCUUUGGUUGGGCCCGCGUUGGAUUAGUUUGUUGGUAGGGUAAAAGCCAACCAAGGCGAGGAUCCAUAGCUGGGCGGAGAGGAUGAUCAGCCACACUGGGACUGAGACACGGCCCAGACUCCUACGGGAGGCAGCAGUGGGGAGUAUUGGACAAUGGGCGAAAGCCUGAUCCAGCAGUGCCGCGUGAGUGAUGAAGGCCUUAGGGUUGUAAAGCUCUUUUACCCGGGAUGAUAAUGACAGUACCGGGAUAAUAAGCUCCGGCUAACUCCGUG